rnacentral:rRNA from 1 species
UGGGGAAUUUUGGACAAUGGGCGAAAGCCUGAUCCAGCAAUGCCGCGUGUGUGAAGAAGGCCUUCGGGUUGUAAAGCACUUUUGUCCGGAAAGAAAUCCUUGGCUCUAAUACAGUCGGGGGAUGACGGUACCGGAAGAAUAAGCACCGGCUAACUACGUGCCAGCAGCCGCGGUAAUACGUAGGGUGCAAGCGUUAAUCGGAAUUACUGGGCGUAAAGCGUGCGCAGGCGGUUUGCUAAGACCGAUGUGAAAUCCCCGGGCUAACCUGGGAACUGCAUUGGUGACUGGCAGGCUAGAGUAUGGCAGAGGGGGGUAGAAUUCCACGUGUAGCAGUGAAAUGCGUAGAGAUGUGGAGGAAUACCGAUGGCGAAGGCAGCCCCCUGGGCCAAUACUGACGCUCAUGCACGAAAGCGUGGGGAGCAAACAGGAUUAGAUACCCUGGUAGUCCACGCCCUAAACGAUGUCAACUAGUUGUUGGGGACUUCAUUUUCCUUAGUAACGUAGCUAACGCGUGAAGUUGACCGCCUGGGGAGUACGGUCGCAAGAUUAAAACUUAAAUGAAUUGACGGGGU